AUCUGUCUGUAUCAAUUUCAUCGAAUCACGUCACUAUUGGGCACCUAGAUACCAAAAUUCGAAUACCAAGUUCUUCCUGGAUAUCCUAGAUUAUAGAGUCUAGAACUGUCAAUACAAUUUUCUCAAUAUGGCUCACGACUAACGAUAUGCCUAUGAGGAAAAACGGUUAAGUUUAAUAUAAUAACGCGUCGUUAAUCUUCAGGAGACGUAGAAGUGACGAGCUGCGGCUCGAUCGCCGGCGGCGGCGGGCGUCCACUGUUGAACAGCUGCUGAACGGCAGAGUUUUGCUUCGGCGCGUUGAUCGUUAGUAUCAAUGGAGUUUCGAGUCUGCUGGAAUGAUUUGACGCUGUAUUUGACGUCGUGGAUUAUGUUUUUAUUAUUUCUGUGUUUUUGAUAAAUUGGAUAGAGAAUUGUUAAGUAUAAAACAGGUCUUUUAUGAUGCAUAAAGCUUUAUGUUGUCACAAAACUGCUUGUUAUAAUACAACAUUUCAAACUAUCAGGAAGUAGUUACGAAAAAUUAUGCGUUAGUGGAUUAUGAAUCUGUUAAGUUGAGUAUAAGCGUUUUAAUUUGAUUUUGGCAUUCAAAAUAUUAAACAGCAUCUAUACCGUGUACCUUCCUACUAUUUGUGGUAGGCAGAUAGUGAUCGAGUACAUUAUUUGUUUAGAACUAAUAAUCGAUAUAAAAAAGAUCGCUACAAUAUACAUAACAUAUUUUAAUUCGCUAAAAAGGAAGUAUUUUUUAUUCUAGUAACUCAAUCUUAUAACUACUUUUAAUUAUAUAAUUAAAAUUCUCUAUCCAAUUUGGUUCUUAUAAAAUUGUUAAUACGUUCGCCAAUUCGCUAAUAUUUAGAUUUUAAUUAAAUAUUUAUUAAGUACAUUGGUUGCUUUUAAUAAAUUAUUGACUAUUAAAAAACCAGUAUGCUUAGUAAAUAUUGUGAUCUUUAAAAAAAUAGGAGAAACAAUUGAUAAAGUAAUUUUACGUGAGUUGCAAAAUAGAGAGUGGAAAUUAGAAGUUGGGAAUAUCCGUGCAGUCUACAAGACUAUCUAUAUCUCUUGCCCUCGAUGGACAGUACGGUUAAUAACUCUGUAAUAGUUGCCUUUGCAUAGAUAUUUGCAUUAAAUAAUUUAAUAUCUGCAUUAAAAAUACAAAAAUCACACUUAAAAUAUUUAAAAACAGUCCAGAAAAUGCAUACAGCGAAUGUAUUAACACUUUUGAAGUAGUAUUUGCUUUCUAUGUGUUUAUUUUUUUCAUACAUAAAUAAGUACUGAUAAGUUUUUAUAUUAUUAUUAAGUAUGAGUAAGUUAUUGUUAAAUAGGUGCCUAAUGCAAAUUCACCUGAAAAACAUUUUUUGCAAUUUAUACACCAUUAACGCAAUGAAGUUAAUCCGAGGUAACUGAAUUAAACUGUUAUUUAUAAUAAAUGGCGUGCGUGAACUUACAUACCUGCAAUAAAUUUGGCACAAAACGAGACAACCUGAUGAUUUAUAGCGCAAAAUGAGGCGAUAAAUUUUCUUUUGUGUAGACACGUUAUAAACGAUCUUGUAGACUAGUAUACGAGCCACAAAUACCUGUGAGUCGAGCUGUAUUCCUUGGGAGGCGUUUCUACGUUGGGCUGGGGGCUCGGCUCUGGCUCGGUUUUCUGUGGCUCCUCCUCAGAGGGCUCUUUAGCCCUCUCCACGAAGCGAACCGAGCGCGGAGUUACUGAUCCGUCUUCGUCGCUGGCGGUCGUUGAUCGUUGAUCGUCCGUCUACAUAUAGAAUCGUUGUUACUUGUUGCUGUUUUUAGUUCCUUGCACAUUCGUGUUUUGCACAAAAAAUGUGUAUUUUAUUAUCUCUGUAGAAAAUUCUGCCAUCGCAAUUAAUCUAAAUAAAAAUUCGCAUUGCUAACUACAGAACUAAACCUAGUGUACCUUCGGGAUAACAUGUUUAUAGCAAGCUAAACUUUAAAGUGCUUUAGCAUCUUUAAAUCCACCACGUUUAUAUUAUUAUGAGAAAGUUUUGCAUUCUUUAUGAGAUAUACCCACGUCCAGGACGUGAAGACGCGUAUUGUUUCACAAUGCACGUCAUAAUACGUUCAGUGCUAUUGAGGAAGUCUACAUUGUAUGUAAACAAUAUUUAAUUCUUUUGAAAAUAUGUUUUUUACCUGAAUUUUGUCGUUUCGUCGUUCUGAAGGACGCGAACAUUCGUUGCAUACGUAAAACUGAGCCUGUGCUACGACGUGUCGAUACGUUUUGUUAUACAGAAAGCGGCUUUAUACGUUCAAUACAACUCUAUAAUACACUUGUUGAUUAAAAAAAAAUGUGGGUUUAACUGAC